rfam:Oryza glaberrima chromosome 2 Oglab02_0436_1, whole genome shotgun sequence.
AAAAAGACAAACUAUGGGUUCCCUUGCCAACGUUUGACUGUCCAUCUUAUAAAAAAAAUUUAUAAUUAGUAUUUUCAUUGUUGCUAGAUGAUAAAAUAUGAUUAAUACUUUAUACGUGACUUAUCUUUUUUUUAUAAUUUUUUCAAAUAAAACGGACGGUCAAACAUUGGACACGGAAAUCAGGGUUUGUCUUAUU